AUUUGUUUUAAUAAUCCGGUAAGAGCAACAAGUUUAAAAAUAAAAUAAAAACAUAUAACAAACAUAAUAAGAAUAAUAAAAAUUAUUACUUAAUACACACAGCUUACACAACUAAACUGGAGAAAAAAUAUCCAGAAACAAAAAGUACUCUCAACAACUUUAAUAUAAUUUAUGUACUCUCAACAGUACAAGAAACUAAUUAAAAAGACAAACAAACAAUAAGUCUCAGUGAUACAGCAAACAACAACACGAACUAUAUCAAUCAUAUUAUUAACACAAUUUAGUUCUUCAU
rnacentral:lncRNA from 1 species